rnacentral:lncRNA from 1 species
ACCACUCGACGCACUACUGGUGCGGAAGAUGUAGAUAUGCGUCGAUGCAGUGAAGACGAUCACGUAGUCGUACAUAGUCGAUCAACGUAGUCGUACGUAGUCGAUCAUGUCCAGCAGCUCCUCAGCAGCUCGUCCACGUGCAGCAAGAUCGCCUCCGGUACCGCGGCUCGUCGUCGGCUCGUCGUGGCUCGUCGGCGGCUCGUCCAAGUGCUGCAGGCGCAACACCUCCAAGGUAUCCACACGUGCAGGGAGGAAGCGUCGCAAGCCGGACUGCUAGAUCCGCGAGUUGCAAUAGGCGAGCGCGUGGGAGGUG